rnacentral:lncRNA from 1 species
GAGCAUCCUUGCUUGUGUCCUCCCUUGUCCUGCAACAAGAGAGCGGUCAGGCAGGGUGAGACCAUCUCUAUGUCAGCAGCUAUGCUCUUACCCUGACAGAGUCGGGGUGGGCAUCAAGGACCACCUCGGGGAACAGACCCCUCCUCUGCCCUUGCCCAGCAUUGGUGACUGAAGCAACAGUGACGCCUAAUGGUUGGCAACAGAACUGCAGCUAUUGGAGGAAAGAGCUGUACGCCCCCAUCUCUUUUUUCUGUUGCUGGUCUCCCCCAGACUUUUAGGAGAAUGGAAGAGAGGAGAUUCCACACAAAAGCCCUGGACCUAACAUCCACACACUCACACGGAGCUCACAGACAUACUGAACCUGUACACACUGCAGAAGCUGCAGUGAGGUCAAACCCUCCCCCACCAAGUCCCCAACCUCCAGU